CAGGAGGUUGUCCUGCGGUUUACAUAUCCCUUCAUGGAUUCUCCUGGUGGAGAGCUAUACUGAUAUUUUUUUCUGUGUUUAAAGCCUACUUACUCCUGAAUGGCAUCUCCUGACUGGGUCACUAUGUUGUGGAGUUAGAGCUCAGAAAACAAUGCGUGGAAAGUGAGGGAAUGGGCGCAGCAGAGCUGGUAGCUACAGCAAAGUGAUGUGGACACACUAAGGUCAGGGGCCUUUUCUCCAAAGAAAGGUGGAAGCACAACACUGUCACUUGAAAGGAGCAUGUGUGGAGGACAGGACCCUAGAAAAGGCAUCCAAGGACGGAUUGGGGGAAAGCAGUGAGG
rnacentral:lncRNA from 1 species